rnacentral:SRP_RNA from 1 species
GGUAGGCAUAGUGCCCCACACCUGUAAUUCUUGCUACUUGGGUAGGCUGAGACUGGUAAAUUGCUUGAGUUCUGGAGUUAUGAGGUAUAGUAGGCUAAGCCCAUUAAGGGUAUAUGCAUUAAGGCUGUCACCAGUUUGGUGAGCUCCCAAGAGCAGUUGGCCAUCAGAUUCCCUAGGGAGGGGUGACCUGGCCCCAGGUUGGAAAAAUGGAGCAAUAUAAAACUUCCAUGCCAGUCAGUAUUGGGAUUGACCCAUGAAUGAGCUCUGUACUUCUAACCUGAGCAAAAUAGGUAGAGCCAUUAUUU